UCCAAAGAUUUUUUCAUUGUGAUAAAAAUCAGCGUCGUAAGGUGUAGUGAGUGAUUGCCCCAUAUUAUAUCUAAGCAGAGUGCACAAUAGGGAAAUAUUGUUCUUACCCAGGCUGCCGAACUGGGCGAGAUGCCAGCAGAGCAAACUGCAAGCGCUUAGGACGACGGCAGCUGUCUGUCUUCAAGAUACCAAAGAAUAUGCAACAACGAUGGAGCGAAGUCCUUGGACAGUGUUUCGACUGAUCAUCUGUGCAUCCUGUGGUGCAACCAAUUGGUCCGGAUGAACCUUCGGGCGCUUUUUGAAUGUGUGGCCACGAAAACUCGUCCGCCUAAUAUAACUUACGACUCGGAACGGAAAAUUCGUGCCCUCGAUUGUUAUUUCCGGAGCCGUAUAUUCGAAAAAAACGUCUUCCAUACGAGGACAAGACGAAAUUCGAGCCCGGAAGCGAAUGGAUCGAAGACAUCAUUAGACAAUGCACUUGGAGUCGGAAAGCCGUUUCUCAAUUAGAAUAUAUCACUGAUUGAAUUGGGUUUCGUGGAUUUUUUCAAAAAGUUGUCACUCGAGAACUGGAUGAAAAAAAAAUAUAAAAAAAAUAUGGUAGCCUCUACUAAUGUGAGUGAACGACAUACAAAAUUUCGCGUCGAAUCGGAAAGGGUGAGGGUUGGAGCCUAGUCGAAUUCGGGUGGAAUGCUCCAUAUAAAUUAUUCACCAAGGAAACAUUAGUUUCAUCGCGUCGGCUAGAAGAACAAUUGAGUUCGUCGGGCCAUCCGGAGCUGGACAAUAUAUGAUAAUGCGGUAAUUGUCGAGGGUCUGCG